rnacentral:lncRNA from 1 species
GGCAGGUCGAAGUGGCGGGGCAUAUGACUUGAUGUACCCGAGCACUUGAUGUGUAUCGGGGAAAUCCUCGGCGACCGAGUCCGGCCAUGGGAAGUCCGAGAACUGGUAGGCUGGUUUUGGGGUCUGGAGCUUCGUGGUCUCCACGGUCUUUGUCCAGACUCCUCCAAUGCCGGCUUCGGACUCGAAGACGAUGGGGUGGAGGCCCUUAGAGAGGGUGUAUUUGGAGGCUAGGAGGCCGCUGAUCCCAGCACCAACUAUGGCUAUCUUUUUAGUCUCCAUCUCACUUUGUUCAAAUGGCUUUUCCUGUUCUGGAGAGAACUAGGUAUAUAUAUAUAUAUAUAUAUAUAAUCAAAGGUCUAAUGAUGUUGGGUGGAAAUGCACUAAGAAAAUUGAUUUGAAACCAACCACCCAUCUGUCGGUUUCUCCUGAAACAGUUCUUCAGGGAAAUAUGAUUUUACGUGUUUCACUUGCCUUUACCAAUGCUCGGUCCGGCAUUAGCAUAGCUUGGGGAACAUUAUGUGCCUAAUUCAACGCAUAUUGGCAGCCAUCGUCUUUGAACCGACCUCUUGACUAGCAUCACUUUUUUACCUUUAGAAAAUCAUCUUGAAACUGUAGAGUACAUGGCAAGCUGUCUAUUUCUUCAUCAAUAUAGUGUUUACCCGGAUUGACUUGAGGACAGAAUUAGACUUUCGAAUGUAUUGCCUAAUAAUCCACAACAGUUUUAUUUAAAUAUUUUAAUAAAAACUGUGUUUGUUUUGGAGAAAAAGUCAUGUAAAAGAUGAUGCUUUGCAGGAAACCAUUUUGUAGGAAAAAGUGUUUUUUCGAACUUUAUACAUGCAUAUUUUCUUAAUUAUAAAUGAUAAGCCGGGUGGAUUAAUAGGACUGCAUUUCUUAUUUUAACGUGCUGGUGCUCGCAGGCUCAACAUUCCCCAAGCUUCCCUCUAUAUAUUUCUCUUCCUUAAAAGGAGGGAAUACCUUUUCAAAGUUUAAAUUUAACCAGGAUGAAGCCUUUUAAGGAUUGCUUAGGUCCAUUUGGAUGAGUAAUUGCAAGUUAUACGUCUGGUAAGAUCCAUGUUUGCUUUGCUUUUAUAAUUUACUCAAAUAAUACUGUUUACGGAGUAUUUCCUUUGCCGUGAGAAAAAAUUGACUCUGUAAAGUGAAACCUUGAGCUCAAACUCUUUAACUAGAGAGAGAAUAUUUUUAUAAUGUGCAAUUGAUCUCAAUAAUCAAGUGAUAUAAGAUCAUACUUUAACACCUCAUUUGAAGUGCAAAUUAAACUAAAGUCGUAUACAAGAAGGCACGUGGAAUUGAACAAAGGGGAGUCAUAAAUGCCCAAAAACCCGAGAUAUAAAGGACUCGAAAGCCCGAUUUUAAUACUAUGUUCAAAAUUUCAACUAAAAGGUAAAUAUAUCAUACAGCAAGAUAAAAUGUAAAUAUAAGAGACAAAAGGAAUCUCCCAGAUACGCCAAGUGGUGACGUACUUUGACCGAUCUUAUCUUCCUCGGAGAUAAAUCGCUGUCUCUACGUAUCUUUCGUCUUCUUAUAUUUCAAGGUAAACUUCUUCUCUUUCCAGGCGAUCUUCUAUGCACAAACAAGAACCAGAAAAGAAUGAAAAGAGAAAAGAGGAGAGCGGCCCAUCGACGUCACUGCUAGUGGCAUCGCCGCCGGUCGAAGCUUAUCGAUGGAAGAAUUUAUUAUUGCAGAGCUUGAUUCCAUACCGACGUGGGACCAUAUGGAAAGAGCAAGAUAAUGUUUUCUUUUUCAUAUUUCCAUUUGACUUUUGUGUUCCCAACAAAAUCUGACCCUGAUCAUAUCUAUAUGAUCGUGCUGUCGAGAUGCGCGAGAACCCUUCUGUGACUCUCGUGAAGCGAAGCCGUCGAGAUGCGCGAGAAGACCAGUCCUCACCACCCGACUAUGAAAACUAUGAAAACUCUAUUAAUACGUGACUAUCGCGGCGUACUUCGUAAAACAUAAAUUAAGACCAAGAAGGAAGAAAAAGGAAGUGAAGAACAAGAACGAUGAAGAUGUAUUUUAGAGGCAAAUUCUAAUCUUCUUAUUUUCAUCCUUGUACAUGUGUAAAUUUACAAUAUAAAAUAUAAGAAUAGCAUAAAGAAUAAACAAGAUUACAAUAUGAUUAUAAUUUCCUACUUUAUCUCCGAGCAUCUUUGAUUGAAUCAAUUAAGAUGAAGGUCAAGGAUAAAAUCGUAUUUAUCUUUAAUACUCCCUCUUAAGUUAGUGCAUAGAUAUCUUGGACGUAACUUGUCAAGUGAGCUGUAAAAAAUCCUAUUUGAUGCAGCCUUCGUUAGUAUAUCCGCCAGUUGAUCUUCCGAUUUUACAUACAGAAACCAAAGAACCUUGGUAUCCAGGUUCUACUUAAUGAACAAGAUUAUGAGAAGUACCUCAGUGUGAUCUACCUCAAUGUGUUUUUUAUGGUCAUGUUGAACAAGAUUAUGAGAUAUACCGAUGGUUGCGCAGAACAACCUCAUCUCGAAGAUAGGAGCAUAACCGAGUUCCACCAUUAAUCUCUUAGGCAUAGAAGUUCGCAAAGACCUUUGUGCAUCCCCCUAAAUUCUGCUCUGCACUUGACAAUGCUACCACCUUUUACUUCUUGCUCCUCUAAGUAAUUAAGUUUCCUCCUACAAAAGUGAAAUAUCCAAGUCGACCUCCCAGCCCCGUUAGCAUCCAUAAACCCCUCAAUUUCAAGGUGCCCAUUUCAGAAAACGAAUUCCUCUUCUUGGAGGCCCCUUCAAUUAGUGAAGUAUUCUUAUCAUAGCAUCCAUAUGAACUUUAGUUAGGGCAUGCAUCAUAGUAUAAGCAAUAUCAGGUCGAGUAUGUGACAAAUAAAUUCAUUUUCCUACCAACCUUUAAUACCUUUUUUUGUUAGUUAGUACCUGAUUUGGAUACUCCCCAAAUCUAUGGUUUUGCACAAUUGGAGUGUAUGCGGAUUUACAAUCUAGCAUCUCCACUUCCACUAACAAGUCCAACACGUACUUCAUUUGCGAGAGAAAUAUUCCACCUUUAAAUUGUGCCACUUCUAUUUCUAGGAAGUACCUUAAUCCCCCAAAGUUUUUCAUCUUAAACUCCAAGAAUUUUCUCUUUUGGAGUUUAGAGAUUUCCUAUGUAUCAUCCCUGCAAUAAUCAUAUCGUUAACAUAGAUAAUUAGUAUAGUUAUCUUUCCCUAACAACAUCUUAAGAACAAUAUGUGAUUUGCACCACGCUGAAUGUACCCCCUUUUCUUCAUUGCCACAUUGAACCGAUUGAACCAAGCAUGGGGUGACUGUUUCAACUCGUAUAGAGAUUGUUCUAGCUUGCAGACUACCCCACACUGUGAAGGAAAACUAUACCUUGAUGGAAUGUCCAUAUAAAUUUCUUCUUCUAGAUCGCCAUGAAGGAACGCGUUAUUGACAUCGAACUGGUGCAAUGGCUAGUCUAGAUUCACCACCAGAGAAGUAAAACCUGAACAUUGUUGAGCUUUACGACAGGGGAAAAUGUCUCUUGAUAGUCUACCCUAUAUGUCUUCGUGUAUCCCUUCGGUACUAGCUUUGCUUUGUAUUUCUUGACGGAACCAUCCCCUUUAUAUUCAACCAUUAAAACCCAUUUGCACCCCACCAUCUUCUUCCCUUCAGGCAACUCUACCAAUUUCCGAAGUCUUGUUCUUUUGCAAUGCCUCCAUUUCCUCCUCCUUUGCUUGAACCCACUUUGGGUCUUCCAAAGGCUUUUGCAUCCUAAUUGGGAUGUGAAUUGAAGAAACAUUCAACAAAAAUGCUUUUAGUGGUUUUGAUAGUCUCCUUGUUAAAACAUAGUUUGCAAUAGGGUACUUAGAUCUUUUCCCCUAAGCAUCCAUUGAGUACCGGUCAGGAGGCUUGCCCCUAUUAUACCUAUCAAGUAACUUAUAUUCCAUAGAUAUAUCAGAAUCAUCAAGCAAAUAAGACAUAGUAGUAGGAGAAGUCACCUCAAGAAUAUCCUCAGAAGAUGAUUCAAAUUCGAAUAUUGAAGAGGGAGAAGUUGUUCUUGUAUAUUUGGUUCUUAUACAUCCCUAAUUGCCGAUUGUGGAGCUUGCUCAUUUUCACCAUUUUUUGGUGGUUGCUUUCCAUUUUUCAGCGGCAUUCCCACCGGUUGCUACUCAUUUUCGGGCUGCACCUCUUGCGUUCCUCUUGUCCUCUAGACAUGACACCACCCACUUGCCACCAAUUCACACUUUCUUCCUAUAUUUCCCCUUGAAAGGAAGAAUUGGUGCCAAGAUAAUUUUUUUUUUUUAACUCAACAAAACAUGACAUCUAUUGUCACAUAGUUCUUUUGGUAGCUAGGUGAUAGCAGCGAUAACCUUUCUGAUGUGUACUAUAUCCCAAGAAAAUACAUUGAGCAGGAUAAGGAUCAAGUUUGGUCCGGUGAAUCUUUGAAAUAUGGAUAUAACCGACACACCCAAACACCUAAGGUGAAACAAACAAGACAGUUGGCAAGGUAGCAUGUGUAGACAGUACUUGUAGAGGUGUCUUGAAAUCCAGUACCUUGGAUGACAUUCGAUUUUGGAGGUGAACAUAUGUCGCAACUGCAUUGUCCCAAAAGCAUUUAGGAACGCGACCUUUGGUGAGAAGGGCACAAGUGAUCUCUAAGAUGUGUUUUUGCUCCGCUACUCCAUUCUAUUGUGGUGUCCGAAAACAUGAUGUCUCAUGCAGUAUAGGUCAUGUUCCUAAAAAUAUUCCUUAGGUUGUGCAUUAAUGUGCUCUUCACCAUUAUCACUUCUCAAAAUUUGUAACUUCCCACUAGAUUGUGUUUGCACCAUUAAUAAACACUCGAAAAAUAUUAACCACCUCAUCCUUGUGUUCCAAAAAAUAGAGCCAAGUCAUUAUGAUGUGAUCAUCCAUAAAUAUAACAAACCAACAUCUUCUGGAAACUGCAGAUCGGGAGAAGGCCCCAAAUAUCAAAUGGACUAAGGAAAACACAACACUACUCUUAUUCAAAUUGAUUAGAAAUGGCAUGUAAUGGCUUUUAGCCAAUAUACAAGUCUGACAUUGAAAAAUUGAAUAUGAUAAAUUAGAAAACUACUUCAGGAAGUAAAUGGCUCAUAUAGUCAAAUGAAGGAUGCCCCAAUCGGCAAUGCCAUAGCCAAAUCUGCUUCCCCUUUAAUCUAAUAAGCGUCGCACCUAGUGCACCCUCCCAAAACUAAAGUCAUUCAAGUAAUAGAGCCCCCCACUUAGUAUCACGUCCCUUUGUGAAAAUAUCUUCCCCCACUUAGCAUCACGUCCCUUUGUGAAAAUAUCCUAAAAAAGACAAAAUUGUGGGUACAUCAAAGUAGCACAAUUAAGAUCUUUAGCCGCCUGCCCCACUGAUAUUAAUUUUUGUGGACAACGAUGGCAUAAGUAAAGUGUUCAGUAAAGAUAUAGAAGGGAAAUAGCAACGGUUAUAGUGUCUUUUAUUGGAUAUAUAAUCCCAUUAGCAUUUGAAAUAUUCUGCCACAUUGAUUUAGUAAGACUGACAAAAUCAUCUAUUGUGAAGGUCAUUUGAUCUGUAGCACUUGAAUCAAUAAUCCAUCGACUACAUUUAUUUUGAGAGUUACUAAUGAAAUCAUGAGCAUAAUUACCUUCACAUCCAGUGGUUGACUUCCUGUUCGGUUUUACCCGUGCUAUUAGCGAUAGCUAAGCUUCCCUUUUCCGCCAUUCGCUGCACUCUUUGCUUGUUUGCGUGCCUUCACCUCCUUCCACCAAUCAGGAUACCCAAUCAAUUUGAAACAUGUUUCUUGGGUAUGCUUCACACUCCCACAAUUGGAGCAGCCACCAACUCUUGUUGAUGAAGAUUUGCUUCACAGUGCUCCACUUGGUUGACCUCAACCUGUCAAACCACCUCACUUUGUCAUUUGUAAAGCCGACAUUUGUCAAGUUCGGUAAAAGGUCUGUGGUCCUACCUUACUUCCUCAAGAUACCAUAGCUGCAGACGAGUGUGUGGUAUCUUUGUGUGCCAGCAUCACACUCUGUCGUAUGUCCUCCCAUCGAACAUGAGUAUAGGCCUGCUCAACUAUGGGAAAAGGCUGCAUUUGAAGCUCAUUCGCUUGAACUUUAUCCAAGUAGUCAUCCCACAUAUCAAGGGAGAUGUAGGCCCGAUCUUCCUAAAUAGCUGAAUUAUAUUGCUUGAUAUCGAUAGGGCAAACCAUCGGAUUUGGGUGGCGGAAGCCAAUCUCGCCACGAACCUUGCAAACCAUUGUAAUAAGUCUUAGUAGGUCCUCUAGAUGUCUCAUCCUAGUCACAUGUUGUUUAAGAUCAUAAACCUAGGAUGCAUCAAUUCCAUCAAAAAGGAGGUAGCAAUUGAAUCCCAACCUUUGUGGUUGGGAAUUGGAUAAAAUUCCCCAUCAAGGCGGGUUCCAUCAAGUUUAUCAACCAUCCCUUCACUAUGGAGUCCCCAUUUUCCAUUUGCGAAAUUCGGGAUCAAUAGGUUUAGGCUAAGAAAGGUCUCCAUUGAUAUUCUGCCAUUUAUCUUUCCUUGAGAUGUACAUCUUGACAACUUGGGGCCAUAAACAAUAAUUGGUCCCAUCCAACUUUAUUGAAAUUUGUGGUGGCUCAAAAUCUCCUUUAUUCAAUUCAUCAAAUCCUCCAAAAAAGCAAUGGUAGGAUUGGAGGUCUCUCCUUGCCCCUAAUGAGGCACCAUAUCACCAUGGCCUGACAUAGCUUCAGGUCACUCUCCUAGACGGUUCUCCAACGGAAUCAAGCUACUACCGUCUACAUUGGUGGAUGGGGAACUUGCAAAUGGGUUGGUAGUAAUUUGAACAAUAGCGCAUGGAGUAGUGACGAUCUGGGUCGUGACGAUUUGGGCAAAGAUGUUGCUACUUGGGACAAGUUGGAGUAGUGUUGGUCUACGUGGCGUCGGUGUGAGGAUCAGAGCGAUGUCAAACUAACUUCCCUUAGAUCGACGUUGGUCAAAUUGUGGCACAAGAAAGCUUACGAUAGUGGUGUGACUCGAAAGUAAGUAUGGUGAGUCUGGUUAGUAAUGGAGGGGCAAUUGCAACGGCACGGUAAUCAGAACAGUGCGGCGGCGGCGAUAAUAACAUUAUGUUUUGAGAUUUAAUUGCCAGAUGUCAUAUAGAUAGUUUGUGAUGCUUCCUGCCUGUGGCUUUCCAUUGUUUCAACACUAGCGAGUUUGAUUUUUUCUGGUAAUCUCGUACUCCAAUCUUUAACAGCAAUACUGAUGAAUUCUCUGAUUCUGUAUGCAGCUUGUUCAUCUGCAAUAAGGAAUGACUCGCUGGACUCCUAUUUACAUGUUGCUAAUGGAACUUAUGUCUUCACUGCUAACAAUUGUGUGAUGUGCACCUGCGACGCAGCAAAUAACUGGACGUCAGUAUUACCAUUCUAGAAUUUCUUUAGAUCACGUCCUUCUUGUGGACAAUCUUCCAGUAAUUCUUCUCUUUCCAAACAAUCUCUCAGAAUUUAUGAUUCAUUUCCCUAUACAUGAACAGAUUACAUUGCUAGGCAUCCUAGCUUAAGCCAUCUAAUCAGUCGGCUUGCCCCUCAAUGCAAUGCGAGGGUUCAAAUUUACUCCUGGGCAACUCAACUUCGACAUCUUGUAACCGCACAACCUGUGCCUAUGCUGGUUAUAUGAACCAGACUAUUCUAACAGUGCUCGUCAACGAUAACACUUGUCCAGGUACACACUCAAAAUUCAUGAUGGCUAUGAAGUAAUGAACCUGAUGAAGAGAUCACUUCACCUACCCCAUAGUACGCAUUUGUUUCGAAUAGCCCACUAAAAGCUUUAUAACUGUUGGAAAUGGUGAUCCAUUUUCUAGAAUCUCCUAGAGUUGCUAAACUUCUAGAAUUCCCUAGAUGAAGUUUCUGGAAGAAAGAGAAAAAUGUAGAAGCACAUGUGUAGAUCUCUCUAGAAGAAGAGAGGAUAAACUACAAUCUAAAACUCUCUAGAUUAAGCCAAAGUGGACAACAUUCUACACAAAUCUAGAAUGUUGGUAGAGCACCCUAUAAAUAGGAAAGAGGGGAGAGCAUAGUAGAACAACAAAUGUAAAAGAGUGAAGGGAGCUAACCAUAAAAACCACUAGCUCCCUCACCAACACCUCCUUCAACUAUUGUAAAAUUAUUUUCAUAAACUAGUUGAAUUAUCUUUGUCCCAUAAUUUCCUAUCCUUGUCCAUUCUCUACAAACUGUAUCAUACACUUGCACACACCAUUAAUAAAAAACUAUAACUAAUACCAAAACCAUGCUUCCGCACGCUCACAUCCAAAUAUUUUUAACAUGGUAUCAGAGCCACGUCUUUGGUUGGAAUUGGGCGUUUGUCCUACCUACCCAUUCCUAAAACUACCCUUCCAAAUACCCAUAAACUAAACCAUGGCCAACCCAACCUCAUCCUCAUUUCCCAUUCCCAUUUUUGAUGGGAACAACUAUGAUUUUUGGAGCAUAAAAAUGACUACAUUCUUGAUGGCCCAAGACUUAUGGGACAUCGUGGAAAAAGGUUGCGAGGCUCCACCAGAAGGUGCAAGUGUUUCGAAGGAUCAACUACAAAAGGAUGCAAGGGCGCUAUAUUUUAUCCAACAAGCGCUCUCGGAAACUGUAUUUCCAAGAAUUAUUGGAGUGAGGACUGCAAAAGAGGCUUGGGAUAUACUACGAGAAGAAUUUCAAGGAUCGGAAAAGGUACGCACUAUUCGCCUUCAAACUCUAAGAAGAGAUUUUGAGAAUUCUAAAAUGAAAAAUUAUGAGACCGUACAAGAAUAUGGUGGAACGAAGACGGAAUAAAAGACAUGAGACAAACUACAAUAUCCGAAGUAUCCCGAAAAUGGAUCAAGGGGGAGUGUUGGAAAUGGUGAUCCAUUUUCUAGAAUCUCAUAGAGUUGCUAAACUUCUAGAAUUCCCUAGAUGAAGUUUCUGGAAGAAAGAGAAAAAUGUAGAAGCACAUGUGUAGAUCUCUCUAGAAGAAGAGAGGAUAAACUACAAUCUAAAACUCUCUAGAUUAAGCCAAAGUGGACAACAUUCUACACAAAUCUAGAAUGUUGGUAGAGCACCCUAUAAAUAGGAAAGAGGGGAGAGCAUAGUAGAACAACAAAUGUAAAAGAGUGAAGGGAGCUAACCAUAAAAACCACUAGCUCCCUCACCAACACCUCCUUCAACUAUUGUAAAAUUAUUUUCAUAAACUAGUUGAAUUAUCUUUGUCCCAUAAUUUCCUAUCCUUGUCCAUUCUCUACAAACUGUAUCAUACACUUGCACACACCAUUAAUAACAAACUAUAACUAAUACCAAAACCAUGCUUCUGCACGCUCACAUCCAAAUAUUUUUAACAAUAACACUUUAACAUACCUGUUAUUCUUAAUUUGAUCCUUGAUUUUUCCUAUAAGUUUUUACUAUAAAAGCUGGAAAAAAUUAAUAUUUUGACAAAAAUACUGGACUGUACUUUUUCCCAAGUUGAUGCAAAAGCCCUCUGUCUAGAGCUUUGUUUGCAUUGUUUUGGAUAUGCACCAUGGCCACAAGUUUUUUCGGUUGCGAUGCACUGCAUGUCUUUAGAUUUGCCAAAAUAUAAAAUAUAAUUGCACACAUGAGCUAAAAAUGAUAGAACUUGCUGCCGGAAUCAAUUGUUUUAUAGAAUUGUUGAUUAUCCCUAUGGCCGACUGUUAGCAAUGAGGUCGAAUUGUCUACUCUUUAUACUUUCUUCACCUAUAAAUUACUGGCACGUCAGUCAUUGUGAUUUGUAGUCCACUACCUAUACUUCCCUAAUAUUUUAGGGGCUUGUUUUGUAAACAGUUUCAAAUAGCUUCGCCAUGAAGGACAGUUUUCGGGCAUUUAGCUGGAACGUCUUCCUGAUUUUGAUCCUGCCCCUGCUCUCUUUCCAUCAUAUUCAGUGAUGACAUUUGUAUCAAAGACUGUCACCCUCGAUGCUUACUUCUAUGUCUGUCACCUUCAAUACACGCCGGUACGUCUGUAAGUGUUGCGCAUGUCACAGAGAUGUGAGGUGCCUGUUUUAUCCUUUGGCACUUCUGUACCAUAGAAUUGUAGCUUCCCUUGUUCCAAUGGAAAAAUUCGAUUCUUCUUUUUGGGGGUUCCAUUCUUAGAUGGCUAGAAUGUUUGCUAGUUUAGAUGGCCUGGAGUUGUGCAAUGUUGAAACUCUAUUGCACAAACUCUAUUGCACCUUCAAGAAUUCGAUGUUGUCGUCGCCAAUGUGUCCAGACUUGCGAUUUUUUUUUUCUUUAUUCAUUUUCUGCAAUGGCAACGUAUGCGAUUUUGCUGUUCAAUUUGAAUCCCCAUUCCAAUUGUCCUCUGCGAUGACUCAAGCACGUAUAACUAGGUUCUAGUGAGUACUUGAUUUCUUCCUGUGGCUCAUACGAGAAGUGCUUGACUAUUUCAAUUUCUCCUCUCCAUCAUAUGUCUACACCUUUAAUUCAUGUUAUUGUCAUGGAAGGAUCGUACAACUUAAAGUGAUGGAAACUUGAUUGAAUCGUAUCUCAUUGUAGGAGUUGGUUUGAGGUUGUAGAUCAAUGGUUGAAUCCUCAAAUUUAGGGCAAGCUAGAAUUUUGUGCUCCAAGAACAAUCAUAGAUUAUUUAGUGCAAAAUAUGACUUCACAUCAGUAAGAGAAGGGGAAGAAAGUUUGCUGAACAUGGAAUACAAAGGGGAAAAAUGAUGAUACACGCACAUUUCAUCUUCAUGGAGAGACAUAAUCUGUUGGGCCAUAAGGCUCAAACAGCUCAGCAAAGAAUCCCUUCUUUCUCUUAGGGUUCCAUCCCAUGUCUCUGCACAGUUGAUCAUUGUACCAAAUGUGAAGUGCAGCAAUGCAUGAUCUUCUGUAGUAUGGACCUGAAGAUCGCUUCAUGUACUUGUCCCACUCUUCUAUAUCCUCCUCCAUCUCGGAAGGUAGCUUGAACGUACCUGCGAGAAGCUCGGCUAGCCACCGGCACCGUAUCUCUGAUGUGUACAAGUUUGCAGCACUUUCUGAGAACCCGAUCACUGCUAGUUGGGGAAUUCGGGGAUGGAUGCAUGCUCUGAGAGGAUGAGAUCACAUAAUUUAGUCCAUGACAGUAACCAUAGAGAAAUAACACAGGCCACUCAUCUUUUGGCUGAACUUUCCAAAGCAAAAAGUGCACAGUUUCAUGCUUAAAAGUUUUCCAGCUAUAAUUUUUGCAAAGACAUUCUCAGAAAAAAAGUUGAGAUGAACGAUGAGAAACCAAAGACAUUCCCAGGAAAGAAAAAAGGACGAAUAAGUAGACAAAAUUUUCACUAAAUAUGAAGACAAAAAUCAUUCCCAAAACCAAAUGCACCUAAAUCUCCAUGAGAACCCAGGACACAGGAUCAGAUUAGCUUAUAGCAGGAGGGAAUUCUAGGGCAAUACCUGUAUAGUGGAACUAUUGAAUUAGGAGAUCCAGAUAAGCAGUCCUGAAACAGUUGCGACUCAAACAAAUCUAGGAGCUUCUUUUCGCCCCUAAACCCAGUCGCGAGGAUGACCAAGUCUGAAUUCAGAGGCUCGACCUCUCCAUCGAUUGAAAUCCCGUUCUUGCAGAAUCCGAAUGCUGGGGCCUUCUUCAAGAUUAUGCUUCCCUCUUCCACCCUGUCGUAGAAUUUUUCGGGUACGGUCGAGAUCAAGCAGGAGCUGAUUUCUUGAAGGAAACUGUGUUUUGGCACCAUCCCGAACUUCUUCAACCGAAGCUUUCGCUUUAUGUGGCUUUCAACAAACUUGGAAAUCGCCCAUCUCUGUCAUUGAAGUGGAUCGUAUUACACGAACAGCAUGUAACAGCUAAUGAAUUUAAUCAUAUGAAGCACUUAAUCUGAAUAAUUUCGAAUUCAAAUUUAUUACUCCACGUGGAUAAUUCUGAAUCCAAGUUUCUGUGACCAAAAUUACUGGCUCGAUAUUACUAAAUGGUGAAAGAAAUUCCCCUUGCAGAUCUAAUUAAGAAGGCGCCUAUAUCACUGUAGGCGGACAAAUCGACAUUUGUUUGGAAAGAACAAUCACUGUGAUGAGAAGUUUCAAGAGAUCUAUCUCGUCGCGUACCAGGGGCGUUAAAAGCGUGGCCAUGAGGCUCAACAACAAGCCCUCUCUGGGCUUAUGCACGAGGAGCUCCGAGAAGCGGGUGAGGUAGAGAAGUGCGAGAGGCACGCCCCACGGUAGAUAAUCCGGCACGUUCCAGUGUUCCGUCUUGUACAACACCGUACAAGGCCGCUCCACUCCUGCAGGACAAAAAUUUCAUCCAAAAGGAAGUUGCCACAAAUCCACUCUUGUCAAAAUGCCGGAGCUGGAGGAGCGGCUUGCACACAGUGAAGAAAAUUUAAUGCUGCGACGACUAGGCUUCAGUUUAAGGAAUGUUGAAAUUCAGGGAUUUCGCACUUACCAUUAACAGCUGAGCACUCCAUGGCAAUGUCCAAUGCGGAUUUCUGCAGCCCGACGACCACCACUGUCUUGCCACUGACGAACUCCUUCGCAGCUUGGUAGGUCCAUAGCUGCGUAGUCCAUGGAGUGGAUCACCUUGCUAUGGAACGCCUCCGGGGCCUCUGUUCGGUGGAAACUCCGGUAUGUUCGGAAUGCCACUGAAUCGCCCAACACAAAGAAUCACAAAGUCCACUUUCAUACGUCUGUCAUUGUCAUUAGAUGGUAAGGUAUAGAAACUAAGAAAUUGCUACCGAGCAAUCAUUAACACAAAAUGGAAAUGAAAAUUGUAACCCAUUGCCGGUCUAAAUAGGUAUUGGCAUGAGACAGUAACAUGAAACUGCAUUAAGAAGAGCAACCCCCAAUUAUGCAAUAACAGGAAGCAUACGUCUACCUCAGUUUCAAGGCUCAGACAAUCCUGCACUCUGAUCUUCCACUUCCCAUCCGAGCUGAAUGGCCUGCCGUCACCGCCCCACAGGCUCCAUGACUGCAUCGCCUCACCAGGUGGCCCCUCGUACCUGAUGCUAAGGACCCUGGUGCCGAACUUGAUGUGCUUAGGCAGGUCGAAGUGGUGGGCAUAUGACUUGAUGUACCCGAGCACUUGUUGUGUAUCGGGGAAAUCCUCGGCGACCGAGUCUGGCCAUGGGAAGUCCGAGAACUGGUAGGUUGGUUUUGGGGUCUGGAGCUUCGUGGUCUCCACGGUCUUUGUCCAGACCCCUCCGAUGCCGGCUUCAGACUCGAAGACGAUGGGGUGGAGGCCCUUAGAGAGGGUGUAUUUGCAGGCUAGGAGGCCGCUGAUCCCAGCACCAACUAUGGCUAUCUUUUU